CCUACGGGGGGCAGCAGUGAGGAAUAUUGGUCAAUGGGCGAGAGCCUGAACCAGCCAAGUCGCGUGAAGGAUGAAGGAUCUAUGGUUUGUAAACUUCUUUUAUAUGGGAAUAAAGUGAGGAACGUGUUCCUUUUUGUAUGUACCUUAUGAAUAAGCAUCGGCUAACUCCGUGCCAGCAGCCGCGGUAAUACGGAGGAUGCGAGCGUUAUCCGGAUUUAUUGGGUUUAAAGGGUGCGUAGGUGGUUAAUUAAGUCAGCGGUGAAAGUGUGGGGCUCAACCCUAAACUUGCCGUUGAAACUGGGUGACUUGAGCAUGUGUGAGGUAGGCGGAAUGCGUGGUGUAGCGGUGAAAUGCAUAGAUAUCACGCAGAACUCCGAUUGCGAAGGCAGCUUACUGGACUAUAACUGACGCUGAGGCACGAAAGCGUGGGGAUCGAACAGGAUUAGAUACCCGUGUAGUC
rnacentral:rRNA from 1 species